GCCAGCAGCCAUAUCACCCUGCAACUCACAACUGGCAGCCCACUGAAGCUGAGCAGGUAUGAGCCUGGUCAGUACCUGGAUGGGAGACCUCCUAGGAAAAACUAAGGUUGGUGCUGGAA
rnacentral:rRNA from 1 species